rnacentral:rRNA from 1 species
CCUACGGGGGGCAGCAGUGGGGAAUAUUGGGCAAUGGGCGCAAGCCUGACCCAGCAACGCCGCGUGAAGGAAGAAGGCUUUCGGGUUGUAAACUUCUUUUCUCAGGGACGAAGCAAGUGACGGUACCUGAGGAAUAAGCCACGGCUAACUACGUGCCAGCAGCCGCGGUAAUACGUAGGUGGCAAGCGUUAUCCGGAUGUACGGGGUGUAAGGGGCGUGUAGGCGGGAAAGCAAGUCAGAUGUGAAAACCAUGGGCUCAACCUGUGGCCUGCAUUUGAAACUGUUUUUCUUGAGUACUGGAGAGGCAGACGGAAUUUCUAGUGUAGCGGUGAAAUGCGUAGAUAUUAGGAGGAACACCAGUGGGGAAGGCGGUCUGCUGGACAGCAACUGACGCUGAGGCGCGAAAGCGUGGGGAGCAAACAGGAUUAGAUACCCUAGUAGUC